UUUUUGGAGAUAAUGAUGGUUACAAGCACAUAUCUCAAUAAUUUAUGUGGAAAUAUCAUUAACUGAAUCUCCCAUGC